GCUGUGAUGGCCAAGUGGUUAAGGUGUUGGAGUCGAAAUUCAAUAGGCAGGUUCAAAUCCUGCUCACAGCA